rnacentral:rRNA from 1 species
AACCUCCGCAAUGUGAGAAAUCGCGACGGGGGGAUCCCAAGUGCCAUUCUUAACGGGAUGGCUUUUCAUUAGUGUAAAGAGCUUUUGGAAUAAGGGCUGGGCAAGACCGGUGCCAGCCGCCGCGGUAACACCGGCAGCUCUAGUGGUAGCAGUUUUUAUUGGGCCUAAAGCGUCCGUAGCCGGUUUAAUAAGUCUCUGGUGAAAUCCUGCAGCUUAACUGUGGGAAUUGCUGGAGAUACUAUUAGACUUGAGACCGGGAGAGGUUGGAGGUACUCCCAGGGUAGAGGUGAAAUUCUGUAAUCCUGGGAGGACCGCCUGUUGCGAAGGCGUCUAACUGGAACGGUUCUGACGGUGAGGGACGAAAGUUAGGGGCGCGAACCGGAUUAGAUACCCGGGUAGUCCUAACUGUAAACGAUGCGGACUUGGUGUUGGGGUGGCUUUGAGCUGUCCCAGUGCCGAAGGGAAGCUGUUAAGUCCGCCGCCUGGGAAGUACGGUCGCAAGACUGAAACUUAAAGGAAUU